rfam:Leucoagaricus sp. SymC.cos contig3227, whole genome shotgun sequence.
GGCCGCCUGGCGAAAUGGCAUCGCGUCUGACUACGAUUCAGUAAUCAGGAGAUUGCAGGUUCGACCCCUGCGGUGGUCA